rnacentral:rRNA from 1 species
UACGAAGGGGGCUAGCGUUGCUCGGAAUCACUGGGCGUAAAGCGCACGUAGGCGGCUUAUUAAGUCAGGGGUGAAAUCCUGGAGCUCAACUCCAGAACUGCCUUUGAUACUGAUGAGCUUGAGUUCGGGAGAGGUGAGUGGAACUGCGAGUGUAGAGGUGAAAUUCGUAGAUAUUCGCAAGAACACCAGUGGCGAAGGCGGCUCACUGGCCCGAUACUGACGCUGAGGUGCGAAAGCGUGGGGAUGCAAACAGGAUUAAG